rnacentral:lncRNA from 1 species
CCAGUGGUGGAAAUUAGCUGUGGAACGUUCUCUCAAUUGGAAGCUGGAUUCUCCUGAUUUGACUGAGUACCAUAAACGUACUUUAUGGACGACUCUGCCCGGUGGCCUCUACAUCUGGAUUACAUUUGGAAUGUUGCUGAUGGCUGAACUUCUACAUAAAAGAUAACAAUAACUGGUGUUUUAGUUGACGACUGGUUAAAUUAGUGGGCUGGGGUUAAUUGUUGUUGUUAAUUAAAACAAAACGACUUUGAUUUCUCAAA